GACGAACGCUGGCGGCGUGCCUAAUACAUGCAAGUUGAGCGAUGAAGAUUGGUGCUUGCACCAAUUUGAAGAGCAGCGAACGGGUGAGUAACGCGUGGGGAAUCUGCCUUUGAGCGGGGGACAACAUUUGGAAACGAAUGCUAAUACCGCAUAACAACUUUAAACAUAAGUUUUAAGUUUGAAAGAUGCAAUUGCAUCACUCAAAGAUGAUCCCGCGUUGUAUUAGCUAGUUGGUGAGGUAAAGGCUCACCAAGGCGAUGAUACAUAGCCGACCUGAGAGGGUGAUCGGCCACAUUGGGACUGAGACACGGCCCAAACUCCUACGGGAGGCAGCAGGAGGGAAUCUUCGGCAAUGGACGAAAGUCUGACCGAGCAACGCCGCGGGAGGGAAGAAGGGUUUCGGAUCGUAAAACUCUGUUGGUAGAGAAGAACGUUGGUGAGAGUGGAAAGCUCAUCAAGUGACGGUAACUACCCAGAAAGGGACGGCUAACUACGUG
rnacentral:rRNA from 1 species